AACGCGAUUAAGACGAUACUCUGAUUAAGAAACUAGCAUGUAAACAGCGUUUAUUGAUGACCUUAAUCCGAAAUGGAAUUAAGGCGUGUGGAGUGUUCAUGUUUUAGUCGCAUUAUGGACGUGCGUUACAGACACGUACACACCUUCAUCACACUAUUAACGUCGUGUGGGAGUUUUCACCGCAUUUUACGACAGGACACGUACACACACGGCCGUGCUCAAUCGUUUUAUGGCAAACAGGAGAGCACGGCUGCGUCCCAAACCGCGUACUUACCUGCUAUAUAGUAGGAGAAAUAUAUGUAUAUCAGCUACUAUAUAGUAGGUAAGUACGCGGUUUGGGACGCAGCCCACGGCUUCAAGCGGUCGUCUAUUAGCACGUACGGCACGACAAAUAAUUAACCGCACUCGAAGCGUUCGUAAAAUUAAAAAUAAAAACACCCAAAACUGUAUACGGUACCAUAAUGAAGACGAACUGUAUGUCGAUAUGUGAAAUUCUGGAGGGACGUCGGACGGCGUGGCGCAGGGAUGUAAUGACGUGUGCUGUAAAUCCAGCUAUGUUCUAUAUAGGAACAUAGGAAUAUUCUAAACGCAACUCAUGUAAACACCUUAAUCAGAAUACUGUCUUAUUCAGAAUAAGGUCGAUAAUUAGAUUACUGCUGUCCAUGUAAACGUAGGCAUUAAGAGAGAAGGAUGUGUGUCCCCUUCUCAAGUGUCGGACACUAAUGUGGAAGUCGUCGAUCCCGCAGGAAUGACGUGUUUUUUUAGGCCACCACAGGAGUUAGCAUCACCCCGGUUCCCUCGACAAAAAGCCAGUAGGAUUUUUCUAUUGGCUUUUGGAUUAUUGCCAAAAAUACACUCUUUGACCAACAAAAGCUUAUGAUUCUUACAUGUUCCGUUCAUUAAGAUAAGAUUAGUAGAUGUAGGCUGUAAUAGAUGAGAUUUCCUUUUCGGCGUGAUGACGUUUAAUGUCCCCGACAACAUUUAGCCACUUCUUAGCAACCGUCUUUUUCCAAGACACGUAAAAGCUUAUCCUGAGUGAGGUAUUACUGAUGUAUUUUAUGGCGCAGUAUAAAACGUGAACUUGUCUUCACCUCAUUUUAGUCAUUUAACCAAAAAAUCCAUUCCAAAACCCCAUCGACUUCGGGACGAUGGUUGUCCUGUACACAGGAAGAUUCGAAGACCACGAGAAAACAACUUUCGUUACGUCGAGAUCACGUGAAAAUGAAGCCGUGAUCACGAGAAAACAACAGAAAAAAAAAAACUAAUAAUGCAUGGCCGCUUAGGGCUUCCGUAGAUUUUAAGGAAGACAUGUUGGAAAUUGAAGACUCAUCCGACGUUAAACCAUCUUUAAAAGGUAAACUACUGUACAUUAUUACCACGUGGUUUGAGACAUGGCUACAGAAAGACUACGGAUUUUUCCUGAAGUGUGAGAAUUCACACUAAUAAGAAGAGAAUAAUAAGGGGGGAAUUAUUUUACCUGCUUCUAUACAAAAUUUCCAUAAACACUAAACGUUUUGAAGUGGUUCUGCUGCCCCCGUGUGGUAAACCAUCAGCACUGCAUCGUGCGCACCUACAGAGGCUUAUCAGAGGGGAAAAAAAAACCUUCUUUCUAUACAUCUUAAUAUGGAUAUAUAUUAAAUUGUGUACUAUUGUGCACUCCUUGUGACUGUUGUGGUACCUCACCUUAUAUUUUUACAUGGUAAUCCGAGUACAGUGCACCUUUAAAAGUACAUUCAAUUCAGAUCCUGAAGGCGGAGCUUCGUGAACAUGGGCAGGAAUCAUUCUCAUGGCGAACCCAGCUAACUGGUAGAGACCUAGGGUGCGUCUCAAUCAGCUGCCUAGUUCAGAAGUCGCGGCACCGAUCAGCGAGUCGGCCAUUUUAAGUGCCGCCUCGAUCAAUCGCAAAAUCCUUCUGGAAUGUUCGCUCCCUAAAAAUCCCACAAUGCACCACAAAAAACCAAGGAGCAUCGCUGCUCAUCAUGUUCCCUUACUGGAACUGACCUCGCUUUUUUUUUUUUAAGCCCCUCAGCACGAUUACCCACGUUAGAGGUUUUUAACGUUACGUGUGGCGAGACAGGGCCCUUACCAGAGCCCCGACUCGUGUACACGAGGAAUUCAUUUAACUAGCUUUUAGAGUAAUACUUUAAAGGUACAUUUUAAAUACAUAAAAAGGUACCGCCCAAGUAACAAGCUGCACUUCAGUACCUCUCCUCUGAGAGUGUGUAGCGUCUGAUUUUUACAGGAUCCAGAUCCGCCCCUUCGGCGAUAAUCGCUCCUAGAAAAUAAAAACGAAGCAGGCAGUUUUACGAGGUUCAAAUGUUUUAUUUCUCAUAGUCAUGAGUGGCAUUUCAAUGGUUUCCACAGCAUAUGACGCAGCAUGCAGAGACGAAGAGGCCCAAAACGAACAAACAAAAAAUAAUUUCAACAAAAAUCCUAAGACUGAAAUGUUGUAUUCUCAACACAACCCCAUAAUCCCCCCCAAACCCCCCCCCCCCCCAAAACCCAUCACCAUCGUACGAGGUAACAAACUGACCAAUCCCCAACAUAGUUCUAGAAAGCACUGAAUCAAAAGCAAAGAAGCACUAACUGUAUCACAUGUAAAUAACAAAAGUCUGUACAAAACAAUUCAUCCAAAUCAGGAGCCGGAAAAAAAAUAAUAAAACCCCAACAAAACCCGAAACACAAGACCCAGUUUCCACAGCACGCCGCUUCCACAGGGCCGGAGUAAAGCUUUGUUUAAUGUGACACUGAUUUUUCUGAUUAUUAUAUUCAUCUGGUGAUUAUAAGAAGUAUGGAUACAUGAUGUAGUGGAGUAAGUUCGUCAUUUCCAUAUUUAAAACAUUUACCAAAAAAAGUUUGGCAACAUCCAUAUAUUUAUAUGCAACUGUCAUUCAUAUAUCAAUUCUUACCAUUCAUUAUGUAAACAAGAGGAUUGGUUUUCUUAAAAAUGUUUUUAUUUUAAUUUUCCCCCCCAAAAAGUCGGACCUACAUGCACGGAGAAAAGAAAGACACCCGCCCGUUUCAUGCAAAGCACAUCACCAGACCCUUAAGGGUCUUUUUAUUUUGGGGAAAACGCAGGUCGUGCAGUGCGUGGUUUAGAAAAAAGAAAACAAACAAACGACAACAACAAAAAAACAACCAGCAGACGUGCAUGUGAGAGAGCGAGAGAAAGAUUAGAGAGAGCGAGAGAGGAGUGAGAGUUGGAGAGAGAGAGAGAAAGAGGGGAGAGAGAGAGGAGUGUGGGAGAGAGAGAGAGGGGAGAGAAAGAGAGGGGAGAGAGAGAGGGGA
ensembl:lncRNA